CUGUCGGGUCUCGGGGCUAAUCACCUGCCUUUUUGGCUCCAGUGUGUUUAGCUGUUUUCUCUGCCCCCUGUUCCCCAGCGCAGAGCUCUUGGAAGCUUCAGUGUCAUCCCUCCGGUCUCAGUGGUCGUACAAAUAACUGUGGAACGUUACUCAUCGGUUUGAUUCAUCUGCUUCGACUAUUCUUCCAGUCACUACGAGUAAUCCUGUGAACGUGACUUAUCUGAUCUGCCUCCUCUGCUUUAAAUAAAGCCUUGCGUAAACCCGCA